rnacentral:rRNA from 1 species
CCCUAUUGUGGGGAAUAACAUCUCGAAAGAGAUGCUAAUACCGCAUAAGCUCUCAUAUGAUAGUAUGAGAGGAAACGCUUAUCGCAAGAUAAGUGGCAAAAGGAGGGGUCUGCGGCGGAUUAGCUAGUUGGUGGGGUAAAGGCCUACCAAGGCGACGAUCCGUAGCUGGUCUGAGAGGACGAUCAGCCACACUGGGACUGAGACACGGCCCAG